AUAACUUUAUGAAAUUCUGAUUGCUAGACAACGUGGAGGAUUCUCUGAUUUCUUUCUCUAAUAAUAUUCAUAAGAUUUAUGGACUUCAAGAAAUUUAAAUUUAGAACGAGAAGACCCAGAACGUAAUGCACUCUUGUUUGAAAUUGCAUAACACCUAGAGGAGUCAGCAAUUUUUUCGCAGCAUCAUUGCAUCGAACUCGACCUGAUAAGCACCCGAUUGCAUCGUUUCAAUGCCAGAGUUUUGUUCUCGUGAUGCAUUACGUUGCUGGGAAGGAAAGUGCAUCGCGAACACUUGUUACACACGUUGACUCUCAAUUUGGCUCGGCCAUGGUCACGAAUGAUUGACAGACUUCGAUUCAUGAAUCGAUCGUGCACACCUCACUGGUUGCAUGAUGACAAACAAGUGGUAAUUGAGCACACGUGUUUCUAAUGGCCGAUAUCAGUCAAGGAACCACAACGUAAUUUCAGGUUCCACUAGAGGAUUUUUUGGCAGUGCAAUGAGUACGGCAGACUUUUAUCAUGCAGAAACUACACGUCCAGACAUCUGGCUAUUUUUAAAUGCUGAUAUUCUCGAUGAUUCCGCCACUGUUCCUGAUCCUUCCAAUUUAUUUCAAACAGCAGACUGAUCAAUUAAUCGUCACUUUACGUUUUGCUAAUAAGUUUGUGGUUUGACGGAUUGUGUGUCAUAUCCAUUGCUUGCCAAAAUUCGGAAUAACAUUCUACUAAAGCUAUUCUAAUUACAGAGAAUCGUGUGCGUACAAUUCCACGCUCGUUGCAUCAGUGUGUCUCAAUCUGUGACAUUUUCUUUUUCCACUUUGGAUAAACCAAAGGGAAACUAGGAGAUGCGUCUGCUAUUUUGGUCGACAUGCUUCUUUGUUUCUCCUCCGAUGUCGCGUUCACGUAACUGUCCACCAGAGGAGCCUCCACGAAGACGAACGUCACUCCGCGACCAAGAAUAAUGGUCUGCGAAGGAAAAGCGAGGAAAGAAAGCGAAGAAAGGGGUCGCUUCUUGGAAUGCUAUUUUCGUGUGGACCAUUUGGAUGGACAGGGGACCAGGGGGGAGAAAGAAUCGCAGAAUGUACCUACCAGAGGACGCUGCAAAAUGACUAGUAUUUCGAAAAAGAUUGUACUUUGUCCGAGAAAAAGAGAGCAUCUGUCUAACUGUUGUGUAAGAAAGUCAGACGUCCAAUAGGAAGUUCUUAGGUUUAACAAAUGUAGUAAUAGAAAAUGAUAGCUGUCAUGUCGAAAUACAAAAAAUUUUUUUUGUUAUGAGGAACAUAAGUUAUUAAGAGGAAAUUGAGAAUGUGAUACAGGACAAAUGUAAACAGAAGUGGUCACUAAGAUGUAACAUAAUUUAAAAAGAAAAAAAUCAUCUACCUAAUAUAUCAAAAAAA